GCCAGCCUGGCAUAGUGGUUUGAGCAUUAGACUAUGACUUUGGAGGCCAGGGUUCAAAUUCCUGCUUGGCC